GUCCUUUUAUGAUUCAUAACUGUGAUGACUGGAUUUUCACACUAAUGUGUGAGAUGUGCCGCCCUCAAACCUUGUUCCAAUGUUGGCACAUUACCCAUCUGCCU